rnacentral:misc_RNA from 1 species
AAGUCGUAACAAGGUUUCCAGGUGAACCUGCGCAACCUGUGAACUUUCAGCUUGCUCCUGUAGCCCGUGAAAGCAGCAAUCUGGUAAAUCAUUGUUACGGUUGAGCGAUUGCAUGGCAUCCCCAAGGAAUCAGUGAAAGGAUGGCUCUGCGACAACUACAGUCUAACUUCGCCGCGCGUGAAAUUCGCACGGCACCAAAAACCGAACAACUGUUAACAAUGGAUAUCUUGGUUCUC